CCUACGGGUGGCUGCAGUGGGGAAUCUUGGACAAUGGGCGCAAGCCUGAUCCAGCCAUGCCGCGUGAGUGACGAAGGCCUUAGGGUUGUAAAGCUCUUUUGCCGGGGACGAUAAUGACGGUACCCGGAGAAUAAGUCCCGGCUAACUUCGUGCCAGCAGCCGCGGUAAUACGAAGGGGACUAGCGUUGUUCGGAAUUACUGGGCGUAAAGCGCACGUAGGCGGAUUUGUCAGUCAGGGGUGAAAUCCCGGAGCUCAACUUCGGAACUGCCUUUGA
rnacentral:rRNA from 1 species